CCUANGGGAGGCUGCAGUCGAGAAUCUUUCGCAAUGGGGGAAACCCUGACGAAGCGACGCCGCGUGCAGGAUGACGGCCUUCGGGUUGUAAACUGCUGUCGGCCAUGACGAAUUGUGUAUCGGUGAACAACUGAUACACUUGACGGUAGUGGCAGAGGAAGCAACGGCUAACUCUGUGCCAGCAGCCGCGGUAAUACAGAGGUUGCAAGCGUUGUUCGGAUUUAUUGGGUGUAAAGGGUGUGUAGGCGGUUGGAUAAGUCAGAUGUGAAAUCCUGGAGCUUAACUCCAGAACUGCAUUUGAUACUGUCCAGCUAGAGUACGUUAGAGGAAAGGGGAAUUCCCGGUGUAAGAGUGAAAUCUUCAGAUAUCGGGAGGAACACCAGUGGCGAAGGCGCCUUUCUGGGACGAUACUGACGCUGAAACACGAAAGCUAGGGGAGCGAACAGGAUUAGAUACCCCUNUANUC
rnacentral:rRNA from 1 species